AGGAAAAUUUCCUAUUCUUAGUUGUAUUCAAAAUGUUGUUUCUAACCUAUCAUUUUCAGCAAUGUAUUAUAAUAUUACAUAAAUAUUAAUAUAUAUUCCCAGAUAUUUGUUAUCAAAAAUAUGGAGGAAAAUUCCACACAUAAAUGUCCCAACUCCUUGCCCUACCCCAGAUGAAUUUUGGACAUGAGAAAGUUUCUUUCCAACAGUGGGAUGUCAUGUUGUGCUUGAUGAAUUUUAACAUUUGCAUCCCUUGGUGCUCAUAUUUGUGAAGAAUAUUAAAGACUUAUGACUUCUUUUUCCUUUUAGCUGCACAUGGCUCAAUCUAAUAAAUUUUAAAUACAGAAUCAAUAUGGUUAUAAUCCCAAUCAUACCACAUUUAAAAAGCAAUGUUCUAGACUGUGUUUCUCUGCCAGCAUGACUCCACAAAGAAAGCAAAACCAAACAAAACUUUCCUUAAAACAGAGUAAAAUGUGACUUGCAAAAACUGUUUUAAAAAGUGGUUUCAACAGUGAAGAACAACCAAUUUCGCAAACACCAUGGUAGCCGUUUCAAGC
rnacentral:lncRNA from 1 species